rnacentral:RNase_P_RNA from 1 species
UUCAGGUGACCGCGUCCGGUGAACCCGGCACCCCGUGUGCCCAGGCAUCGGCCGAGGAAAGUCUGGACUCCACAGAGCACGGUGGUUGUUAACGGCAACCCGGAGCGAUCCGCGGGAAAGUGCAACAGAAAGUAGACCGCCGCCGGUUGAUUCCGGCGGUAAGGGUGAAAGGGUGCGGUAAGAGCGCACCGGCAGGCCAGGUGACUGGCCUGGCCAGGUAAACCCCACCGGGAGCAAGGCAUGAGGACGCACCACCGGUGUGUCUGUGCAGGUGUUAUCGGGCUGCUCGCCCGGCCUGCAGGUAGCUGCUGGAGGCAGUCAGCAAUGACUGCCCAAGAUGGAUGGUCACCGCUCCGGCGUGACAUGUGGCUUCGGCCCGCACGCGGGGGAGACAGAAUCCGGCUUAUCGAUCGGCUCAU